CCUUAAUGGACUGAAGAAGCUGGGAUAGAGACGACAUCCAAAAGGACUAAUUUUACUCCAGCACUGCGUUUGUGCAGGAUUCUCGCUCCAACUUAUCUCAGGGUAAAAUUUUUCACGCCUCUGUUUAAAAUCACUAAAGCUGAAUAUAUACAGUAACACACAGCCUGGGACCAAUUAGGGCAAAUUAGGACGACAUUUGCAUAUUUCUGUAAGACAUCAGUCUGCAGGAUGAAUUCUUGAUGUUUGGAUAUAAUGAAAUUAUUGAAUUUAUCCCACAUUUAAAGGAAUUAGAGUUUAUUGGGGUUUUUUUGGGAUCACUUAAAACACUCAACGAGAAGAACUGUUUAUCGGUGUAACGAAUAACUAAUUUUAUUACCAACAAAGUCAGAUCAAUUAACCAAUGACUUAAUCACGUUAAAAAACACAACCAAACUAAAAGUUUAGUUUAACCUAAAAGUCCUUGUGACUAAAAGGGCAAGUUUGUGAUAAAUGUAUUUAAAAUAUUACUAAAGCGACUAAAGAACCAAGUUUUUUUUAAAAGUGUAUCUGCCAUGGGGUCUAAGGAAAGGUUCUGGGGUCUAAUUUAGAAGUUAAUAGUUAUUUUACUCUGAACCAGGACCACCAGAGACAGAACUGGUUAAAGCGCCUUACUUUGGUCCGCUGAGCUUCUGCAGCAGCGGCUCCUCCUGCAGCAGGUCUGGUUGGAGGCAAAGCCGGUCUCUUCUGGGUCUGGGCAUCUGGAUGUCCACAAAUUCCACAUUUGGAGUUUUGUGACGAGCCUAAAGGCAGUUACUAUGUGGCAAUCGGCACAAAUAAGAUCUUAAAGGAACUUAAAACACAGAUUUGAGAAAUGUUUCGAAGCUUUCAAUGGUGGUAAUAAACAUUUACCCCGACCAAAUCUGACAGUAGGACCCUGGUACAGACGUCUUGGGCGGUCCUUUUUUCAGUUGACAGAUAUCAAAAUGCUCGUUAGAUAGUUCCCGUUGUUUCAUAAAGGACAGCUGAGACAAUAUUUGGUGAGAUAUGAUAUUUCAGACGCAGCGCAUUGAAACUCUGAUCACCAAUAACAUAUUUGCACCGCUGGAUGUUUCCUGCCUGUAACGCUGAUUUAGCUGCUAUACAUCUGAAUAACUAAGAGGCUAAAGCUUAAAACGGAGGUCUGGUGUUGGUGGAAAAGAACAGAGAUAAAAAUAUAAGAUGAUGUAAUGAUACCAUGCAGAUAUAAUGUCUAAGUGAGACGUUAUAUCUACAUGGAAUCAGGAAUACAAUGUGCUCCUACUAUUGUUGAGAGGAAGUCUUUAACAGCUCCUUAAAUUAUUUAAAUGUAAACUAUUGUACACAAAACCACACACCAGCGAUUCAACCAUGUCAUUAUUUAAUAAACAAGUAUAUGCAUUACUUAACAAAUGGAAAAGUUUGUAGGAAAACUACAAGAAACGUACAAAAGAUGUAAAAA